UCUCCGUUGGUGAACCAGCGGAGGGAUCAUUACAGAGUUUUUAACUCCCAAACCCAUGUGAACUUACCAUUGUUGCCUCGGCGGAGCCUACGCUGUAGCUACCAUGUAGGGUGGUUACCCUGUAGCGCCCAGCCGGUGGAUUUUCAAACUCUUGUUAUUUUUUGUAAUCUGAGCGUCUUAUUUUAAAUAAGUCAAAACUUUCAACGACGGAUCUCUUGGUUCUGGCAUAGAUGAAGAACGCAGC
rnacentral:misc_RNA from 1 species